rnacentral:rRNA from 1 species
GACGAACGCUGGCGGCGUGCCUAAUACAUGCAAGUCGAACGCUUCUUUCCUCCCGAGUGCUUGCACUCAAUUGGAAAGAGGAGUGGCGGACGGGUGAGUAACACGUGGGUAACCUACCCAUCAGAGGGGGAUAACACUUGGAAACAGGUGCUAAUACCGCAUAACAGUUUAUGCCGCAUGGCAUAAGAGUGAAAGGCGCUUUCGGGUGUCGUUGAUGGAUGGACCCGCGGUGCAUUAGCUAGUUGGUGAGGUAACGGCUCACCAAGGCCACGAUGCAUAGCCGACCUGAGAGGGUGAUCGGCCACACUGGGACUGAGACACGGCCCAGACUCCUACGGGAGGCAGCAGUAGGGAAUCUUCGGCAAUGGACGAAAGUCUGACCGAGCAACGCCGCGUGAGUGAAGAAGGUUUUCUGAUCGUAAAACUCUGUUGUUAGAGAAGAACAAGGACGUUAGUAACUGAACGUCCCCUGACGGUAUCUAACCAGAAAGCCACGGCUAACUACGUG